AUGUCAGCAAUCGCCUCAUCCAUGCUGGACAAAUGGGCAGUCCAAGGAGGAACCCACACUGAGUUUGAGAUUGAUGCAAGUAAAAAAUUCCAAACUUUGAGUUCUGAUGUCAUUUCCUGUGUGGCAUUUGGAAGUAGCUAUGAGGAAGGAAAGCGAGUUUUUCAAUUGCAAGAAGAACAGAUAAAACUUGCCCUCCUUGCAAUGAGAACCUUCUACUUUCCUGGCUUCAGGUUCGUACCGACAAAGAAGAACCGAAGAAGGCAUAGCCUAAACCAGGAAAUCCGAAGUUCUCUGCGCAAAUUGAUUGAGACCAAUGGAAGGAAGUGUGAGGACUCCAAAAAUUUGCUUGGAUUGAUGCUAUCAGCCAGCAAAACAGACAAUGGGUUUAAAAUGGGAAUUGAAGAGAUCAUUGAUGAGUGCAAGACAUUUUACUUUGCCGGUAAAGAAACAACUGCAAAUUUGUUAACAUGGGCAACACUUCUAUCGGCAUUGCAUAAAGAGUGGCAAGAUAAAGCACGCGAUGAAGUCCAUCAAGUAUGUGGCAAGAACAAGCACCCAAACGCGGAAAACCUGAAUGCUACAGCCUUUGUAAAUAUGGUGCUGAAGGAGACCCUCAGGCUCUACCCUCCAGCUUUGUCUCUCAGCAGGACAGCCACUAAGGAUGUCAAGCUGGGCAAACCUGACAUCCCUGCGGGCAUGCAGCUCAACCUGCCCCUUGUUGACAUUCACCAUGAUGUCGACAUAUGGGGUGCUGAUGCGGAGGAAUUCGAUCCGUCGAGGUUUGCAGAUGACAAGAGCUAUCACCUCGGCGCGUACUUCCCCUUUGGGAUUGGCCCUGCCAUCUGUGUUGGCCAGAAUAUUGCGAUGGUUGAGGCAAAGCUGGUGAUUGCAAUGGUCCUCCAGCGGUUUGUGAUUGAUGUCUCGCCAUCCUAUGUUCAUGCGCCGAUGAUGGUGAUGACCCUCCAACCCCAGUACGGUGCUCAAGUUCUUGUCCGCAAGAUCUGA
rnacentral:rRNA from 1 species